rnacentral:rRNA from 1 species
GACGAACGCUGGCGGCGUGCUUAACACAUGCAAGUCGAACGGAAAGGCCCUGCUUUUGUGGGGUGCUCGAGUGGCGAACGGGUGAGUAACACGUGAGUAACCUGCCCUUGACUUUGGGAUAACUUCAGGAAACUGGGGCUAAUACCGGAUAGGAGCUCCUGCUGCAUGGUGGGGGUUGGAAAGUUUCGGCGGUUGGGGAUGGAUUGGCAGCUUAUCAGCUUGUUAGUGGGGUAGUGGCUGACCAAGGCUGUGACGGGUAGCCGGCCUUGGAGGGGGACCGGCCACAAGAGGACUGAGGGACGGACCAGACUGCUACGGUAGGCAGCAGUGGGGAGUAUGGCGCAAUGGGCGGGAGCCUGAGACGGCAACGCCGCGUGCGGGAUGACGGCCUUCGGGGUGUGAACCGAUGUCGACGGUGACGAAGAGUGAGUGACGGUAAUGGGUAAAGAAGCACCGGCUAACUACGUG